rnacentral:rRNA from 1 species
UGGGGAAUUUUGGACAAUGGGCGAAAGCCUGAUCCAGCAAUGCCGCGUGUGUGAAGAAGGCCUUCGGGUUGUAAAGCACUUUUGUCCGGAAAGAAAUCCUUGGCUCUAAUACAGUCGGGGGAUGACGGUACCGGAAGAAUAAGCACCGGCUAACUACGUGCCAGCAGCCGCGGUAAUACGUAGGGUGCAAGCGUUAAUCGGAAUUACUGGGCGUAAAAGCGUGCGCAGGCGGUUUGCUAAAGACCGAUGUGAAAAUCCCCGGGCUCAACCUGGGAACUGCAUUGGUGACUGGCAGGCUAGAGUAUGGCAGAGGGGGGUAGAAUUCCACGUGUAGCAGUGAAAAUGCGUAGAGAUGUGGAGGAAUACCGAUGGCGAAAGGCAGCCCCUGGCAAGUCAACUGACGCUCAUGCAACGAAAAGCGUGGGGGAGCAAAAACAGGAUUAGAUACCCUGGUAGUCCAC